rnacentral:tRNA from 1 species
GCCCUCGUGGCGGAAAUGGCAGACGCGGCAGAUUUAGGUUCUGUUGGGAAACCAUGCAGGUUCAAAUCCUGUCGAGGGCA